AGUCCGCUGGGUUCGGAGGAGCAGAGGCGGAAGGUCCCGGCGGCGGCGAGGAUGCGCCCCAGGGCGGGAGCGGGACGCUCCACUUUACCCUGGCUGCCCGCAACGGGCCAGGCCUGCCGUCUCUACCUCUCUACCUGUGAGUUUUUUCCCUGCAUUUACUUCAGUCUGCCGCGUCUUCUCCCCGCCCUUCUCUGUAAGGUUGUAUCCACGAGUACCAGCAGAGUGCCUGACACAUAGUAGACAUAAAUCAGGCUGAAGAAUGACCAUGAUGGAGAAUUGAGAAACAAGACCAUCUGCAUCAACAGGAAUUUGGUAGCUGAUCUAGGAAUGCAGCCUGAAGAAAUCAGCACCUCCUAGAUACAGAAUGAACAGAAGGGCUCAGAAGAAAUAUGAGGACAAAUAGGUAUGCUAGACUGAGGCAGAAGAGGCUUGAAUAUUGACUUCAUCUUUUAAGAUAACUCCCCAGAUCUCCAGUUGGUUGAAUGUGUGCAUGUAGAACCCACAGACACAGAGGAUGGGCUACAUUAUGUAGCUGACAGGAGACAGUAAGAGAAAUGGCCUUUCUCCUCAUGACGAUAACUGAAUGGGCACUGCAGCAGCCACAUCUGACAAGAGUACAGUAACUAGGCGCUCAGACCCUUCAAGGAUGAGAGUCUGAGUCACCCUACCAGGAUAGCAACCUAGAGAAGCUGAAUCACUAGUUGAGGAUUCUUUUGCAAAAAAGCUAGCACGGGGAUGAUAAAAGGAGACAGUGCAUACCAGUUAUGGCUUCAGGAUCAACUGAAACUGUAAGUGCUGUAGUUUAU